rfam:Ipomoea nil DNA, scaffold: scaffold0878, cultivar: Tokyo-kokei standard.
GACUUCGUGGCCCAAUGGAAAAGGUGCUAGUUUACAAAACCAGAGGUUCUAGGUUUAAUCCCCAAUGGAGUCG